AAAGUCGUAACAAGGUCUCCGUUGGUGAACCAGCGGAGGGAUCAUUAUCGAGUUAUUCAACUCCCAAACCCUAUGUGAACUUACCACUUGUUGCUUCGGCGCGCGCUUCGGCGCCGCCGAGGACACUUAAACUCUUUGUUUUUAUAAGCAUUUCUGAGUGGCCGAAAGGCAAAAAUACAAAUGAAUCAAAACUUUCAACAACGGAUCUCUUGGUUCUGGCAUCGAUGAAGAACGCAGCGAAAUGCGAUAAGUAAUGUGAAUUGCAGAAUUCAGUGAAUCAUCGAAUCUUUGAACGCACAUUGCGCCCGCCAGCAUUCUGGCGGGCAUGCCUGUUCGAGCGUCAUUUCAACCCUCGAGCCCGACUCUUUUGAGGACGGCUCGGCGUUGGGGGACGGCAGACUCCCCCCGGCAUCUCGCCGGGGACGCCGCCCCCGAAAUCUAGUGGCGGCCCUCCGAGGCGACCUCUGCGUAGUAACUUGUUCUCGCACCGGAAAGCUCAGAGCGGCCACGCCGUAAAACCCCAACUUUUUUCAGGUUGACCUCGAAUCAGGUAGGACUACCCGCUGAACUUAAC
rnacentral:rRNA from 1 species